GAGUGGCGUAAGGGUGAGUAAUGCAUUGAUAACCUGCCUUUGAGAUGGGAAUAACAACGUUCCAAGCAAUUGGGGCUACCGAAAGGGUUGCUAAUACCCAAUAAAACUAUUGCUGCUAUUGGUAGUAAUAGUCAAAUAAAUGGGGUCGAAAGAUUUCAUUUGCUCGAAGAGGGGUCAAUGUCCUAUCAGCUAGUUGGUAGAGUAAUAGCCUACCAAGGCAAAGACGGGUAGCCGGCCUGAGAGGGUGGUCGGCCACACUGGGACUGAGACACUGCCCAGACUCCUACGGGAGGCUGCAGUCGAGAAUCUUUCGCAAUGCCCGAAAGGGUGACGAAGCGACGCCGCGUGCGGGAAGAAGGCCUUCGGGUUGUAAACCGCUGUCGGGAGUUAAGAAAUGCAAGGAUGUUAAUAGCAUCUUUGUUUGACUAAGGCUCCGGAGGAAGCCACGGCUAACUCUGUGCCAGCAGCCGCGGUAAUACAGAGGCGGCAAGCGUUGUUCGGAAUUAUUGGGCGUAAAGAGCACGUAGGCGGCUGUGUAAGUCGGUUGUGAAAGCCUUCCGCUUAACGGAAGAACGGCAUCCGAUACUGCAUAGCUCGAGUGCGGGAGGGGAGAGUGGAACUUCUGGUGGAGCGGUGAAAUGCGUAGAUAUCAGAAGGAACACCGGCGGCGAAGGCGACUCUCUGGCCCGUAACUGACGCUGAGUGUGCGAAAGCUAGGGGAGCAAACGGGAUUAGAUACCCCGGUAGUCCUAGCCGUAAACGAUGGGCACUAGGUAGAGGGGUUUUGAUUAUCUCUCUGCCGGAGCUAACGCAUUAAGUGCCCCGCCUGGGGAGUACGGCCGCAAGGCUAAAACUCAAAAGAAUUGACGGGGGCUCGCACAAGCGGUGGAGCAUGUGGCUUAAUUCGAUGCAACGCGAAGAACCUUACCGGGGUUUGACAUGGUAGAAGUAGGAGCCCGAAAGGGCAACGAACGGUAUCCAGUCCGUAACUAUCACAGGUGUUGCAUGGCUGUCGUCAGCUCGUGUCGUGAGACGUUGGGUUAAGUCCCCUAACGAGCGAAACCCUUGUCUUUAGUUGCCAACAGGUCAUGCUGGGUACUCUAAAGAGACUGCCGUCGUCAAGACGGAGGAAGGUGGGGAUGACGUCAAGUCAUCAUGGCCCUUAUAUCCCGGGCUGCACACGUGCUACAAUGGUCGGUACAAAGGGAUGCUAAACCGCAAGGCGGAGCGAAACCCAGAAAGCCGAUCUCAGUUCAGAUUGGAGGCUGAAACCCGCCUCCAUGAAGUAGGAAUCGCUAGUAAUCGCGGAUCAGCUACGCCGCGGUGAAUAUGUUCCCGAGCCUUGUACACACCGCCCGUCAAGCCACCCAAGCAAGAUGCACCCAAAAUCAUUGGCCUAACCAGCAAUGGAGGGAAGUGCUUAAGGUGUGUUUUGUGA
rnacentral:rRNA from 1 species